ensembl:lncRNA
UACAUUUCGAAAUACUAUUGUUGUUUUAUCACGAAAUGUAACGUAGUUCUAAGAGUUUUGAUGCCAGAAUGUUGUUUAAACUUCAAAGCUACCGUUGAAUUUUAAGGUUAUAGCAACUAUUUUAAAAUUUGCUCAGACUAUUUCGUUACGAGUUGAAAAAUCCAGGCAAUCCGGUGCUGGUGUAAGUAACCCUCGGCAAGUCCUCCUAAAAAGUAGCUAGGCCCUAUAACGUUUAGUAAAAUAUGGUGCUGCCUGUGUUGUUUCUGUAGUGGAUAAACAUUUGAUCUAUUGUGCUUUGGGUAUAUCUAAUGGGCAAUUGUUUUGCCUGAGGGAAAAGUUUCCUAACUAACGUUAGCCUACUUAUAUCAAACGCAAACCUUAUUCUAGAGUGCUCUUAUCAUUUUAACCAAAUAGUUUGCUUGUCUUUAUUUCAAUUUUUUAACAAAUUAUUUUAUAAUUGUAUUAUUUUUCAUUAACUUAAAUUAAGCAUGAUUUUUUAUCAAGGGACUGCUGAGGAAACUCGGGCCUUGAUAGAGUGGCGGGCGGCCAACGAAAGCCUUUUCACCGGGAGGCACAAUUCCUCCAAAUGGGAGAUGGGAAAGGAACAAUCCUGAUGUGGCACCCAUCGAUGGCACCAGCAGCACAGCGGAAUGCCUCAUGGCCAGCAAGGCGAGCAAAGCCUCCCCCACCUCAUCCAUUUCCUCUGCUUUUGGAAAAUGAAUAAUUUUGUGGAGGAUGGUCAUCAUCUCCUCCACAACAUUGUGAACAGUCCUACAAACUGUUGAAAGUGGCAUGCUGAAGUUAUCUGAUGUGACCCUGUAGGAUGCUCCACAGGCAAGCCAAUAAACCGUAACAAAGUACGGCUCCAUCCAUGGGCUUUUUGACGGGGCAGCAUCUGUACCAGCAUGUUGAUGCUGUUCCUGGAGAGCCUGAAAGCUGGCUUUAAAUCCUCUCCAGAAAAAAACUUGACCAGAAUUGGUACCUGGUCAUUGAUCUCUGAAUACCUGCGAGUGUGACUUUGUUCCUG